GACGAACGCUGGCGGCGUGCUUAACACAUGCAAGUCGAACGAAGUGGCGAACGGGUGAGUAAUACGUGAGUAACCUGCCCUCCUUUUUGGGAUAAGCCUUGGAAACGGGGUCUAAUACCGAAUAAAGGGGGAUGGGCUCGCGGCCUAUCAGCUUGUUGGUGGGGUGAUGGCCUACCAGGGCGGUGACGGGUAGCCGGCCGGGGAGGGUGACCGGCCACAUUGGGACUGAGAUACGGCCCAGAGUGAUACGGGAGGGAGCAGUGGGGGAUAUUGGACAAUGGGCGAAAGCCGGCUGCAGCGGCGCAGCGUGGGGGAUGAAGGGUUGCGGGUUGUAAACCUCUUUCGCUAUCGAAGGGGUAGGUGGAGAAGAAGCGCCGGCUAACUACGUGCCAGCAGCCGCGGUAAUAC
rnacentral:rRNA from 1 species